rnacentral:lncRNA from 1 species
GGGGGGGCGCAAUGUUUUAUUUUCGCCGAGCGGAGCGAGGUGAAAAAUUUUUGGAGGUUUUUUUAGGUAAAACUAUUGAAAUAUUCUUCUAAAGGGGUGAAAUGUAGAUAUCUCGAACUAUUGUGUGGUAAAAUUAGCGAGAAAUUAAAGUUUCAAGCUGAAACCGCCUUAAUCCACACCUGACAACAACCUACAGAUAGACG